GACAGAGGUGCCAAGCGUUAGGCGGAAUCACUGGGCUUAAAGCGUGUGUAGGCGGGUCGUUAAGUACCUUGUGAAAUCCCCCGGCUCAACCGGGGAACGGCUGGGUAUACUGGCGAUCUUGAGCGACCUAGGGGCAGUCGGAACAAGUGGUGGAGCGGUGAAAUGCGUAGAUAUCACUUGGAACGCCAAUGGUGAAAAACAGACUGCUGGGGGUUCGCUGACGCUGAGACACGAAAGCCAGGGGAGCAAACGGG
rnacentral:rRNA from 1 species